UACGUAGGGGGCAAGCGUUGUCCGGAAUCAUUGGGCGUAAAGCGCGUGUAGGCGGCUCGGUAAGUCCGCUCUGAAAGUCCAAGGCUCAACCUUGGGGAUGCGGGUGGAUACUGCCGGGCUCGAGUCCGGAAGAGGCGAGUGGAAUUCCUGGUGUAGCGGUGAAAUGCGCAGAUAUCAGGAGGAACACCAAUGGCGAAGGCAGCUCGCUGGGGACGUGACUGACGCUGAGACGCGAAAGCGUGGGGAGCAAACAGG
rnacentral:rRNA from 1 species